rnacentral:rRNA from 1 species
GUGCCAGCAGCCGCGGUAAUACGUAGGGUGCGAGCGUUAAUCGGAAUUACUGGGCGUAAAGCGUGCGCAGGCGGUUAUUUAAGACAGGCGUGAAAGCCCCGGGCUUAACCUGGGAGGUGCGCUUGUGACUGGAUAGCUAGAGUACGGCAGAGGGGGGUGGAAUUCCACGUGUAGCAGUGAAAUGCGUAGAGAUGUGGAGGAACACCGAUGGCGAAGGCAGCCCCCUGGGCUAGUACUGACGCUCAGGCACGAAAGCGUGGGGAGCAAACAGGAUUAGAUACCCUAGUAGUCC